CCAGUUGUCGCCUAGUGGAUAAGGAGACUGACCGGUGAUCAGAAGGUUGCUGGUUGGAUCCCCAGCUCCACUGGG